AUUUCUCCUUCGUCAACUUUUUUUUCCGCUUCCUCCUUCCUCGCGACGCACCCGCUUCCUCCUUUCUCCUUCCUCCUUCCUCCUUCGUUGCGACACACCCGUCAAAGAGUCCUCCUUCCGCCUUCGUCGAAAAAUCCACAGGCGCCUUCCCUCGUCGUGCCCCUCGCGAUUCUUCGUCGUCGCUGCCCGAAGCUAGGGUUUCCACCCCUUCCUCCUUCGUCGGGACGCACCCGCCGAAGAGGAUAACCCCACAGGCGCCUUCCUCCUUCGUUGCGGAACAGCUGGGGGGUUUCUGAUCGGCAAGCUGAAGCUAGGGUUUUUCCGCACCUCACGCCCCUUCAUUUGUUCUCCUCGACGGUACACUACAAUAUCUGAUUAUUUAUGUCUUUUGUAAUGUACAAUAUCAAAAAACAAAAUAGUUGAAAAAACAUGCGUCGUGCGCGGAGAAAGAACCCAAGCAACAUAGUAGUGUAGAUAUUUCCACUGCUUUAGAAUGACUAACUAGUUUAGCUUUGCAAUGCAACAGAGAUAGAUAAAUUGCUCAUGCCUUGGGAGUUCAACAAUUAGUUUACCCACCCUUAGGCAGUUCUCAUUAAACCAACUAGUUUAGUUUUGCAAUCCCUAUCCCAAAUCUUAAAUGAACAAAAUAGCAGAAAUAUAAUAAUAAAAAUAAUAAAAUAGUUGAAAAACGAGAGCGUUGUGUUUAACUAAGAGGACAUCUUUAGGGACUUAUCUAGUUUUUUAGGGGUUAUUUAUUUCUUCUUAUUCAAUUUAGUCGUUUUCUCUAUUAAAUUAUUUGCAAUUUUGACUUUAUAAAAAAUAACUUAUAUUUUUUUUAUUUAUCUGCUUAUAUAUUGUCAAAUGUAAUGCGAGGAGCUUCAGAAAUGGAAAAAAAAUACAAUUGAUGAUCAAGAAUUUAUUUCCCAAGUUGCAGAUGAUAGAAAGCCAAAAAUUGAAAUAGAAUUCUCAUCACUAGAGGAGGCAUAUUCGUUCUAUAAUCAAUAUGCACGAGAAGCUGGAUUUAGUUCAAGGAUAAAUACAAGCAAAAAAAAUAAGAUAACAAAUAAAGUGACGUGGAAACAAAUUGUUUGCUUUAAAGAGGGGUAUACAGAUCUAAUGCGGUGGAGUAAACAUACAAAAGUUGAUCAUGUAUCAAGGGAAAGAGCAUGUGGCGCUGUUAGAACGGGUUGUAAGUCGAAUAUUGCAUUUGUCAAGAAACAUGCCGGACUUAAUUGAGUUGUCAGUAACUUCAUAGAAACCCAUAAUCAUCCACUCUCGACUCCAUCAAAUGUGCAUUUGCUACGCUCACAUCGUAAUAUUUCAGCAGUAAAGGAAACAUUGACAAAACAGUUUUCAGAGGCCGAUGUACCAACUCGUCAAUAAAUGCGAAUAUUGGAGAUAAAGUAUGGAGGGCCUGAGGGAGUCGCUUGCACAGAAAGAGAUAUUAGAAAUUUUGAGAAAAUUUUAAGAGAUGAAUAAAAGGUUAUUGAUGCUGAAACACUGAUAGAGUUUUUUACAUCUGAACAAGAGAAAAAUUCAGCUUUUUCCUUUGAUUAUGAGACUGAUUCAGAUAACAGAUUUAGUAGGUAUUUUUGGGCUGAUCAUGUAUCAAGGAAGGCAUACAGUGUAUUUGGUGAUUUAGUUAUAUUUGAUACGACAUAUAAUACCAACAAAUAUGACUUGAUUUUGACACCAUUUGUAGGGGUUAAUCAUCAUCAUCAGACAAUUCUUUUUGGUUGCGAGUUUCUUAGUGAUGAGAAAACUGAGUCUUUUGUUUGGUUGCUUACAAAGUUCUGAGAAGUCAUGCCUAAAGGAGCACGAAGCAUUAUCAUCACUGAUCAGGAUCCUGUUAUGACAAAAGCAAUUGCACAAGUUUUCCCUCAAAUAGUGCAUCGAUAUUGUUUGUGGCACAUAUUGAAUAAAUUCACAGAUAAAUUGGACCCUUUGACUUUUCGAAACCACUAUCACAGCUUAAAGAACGUCAUUGUAAAUUCUAGAACACCUGAUGAUUUUGAGAAGUCAUGAGAAGAGACUAUCAAGGAUGCUAACUUAGAGAAAAAUGAUUUGUUGUCCUUGAUAUAUGAAUUGAGACACAGAUGGGUGUCGACAUAUUUUAGUCAUGUAUUUUCUGCAGGAAUGUCAAGUAGCCAAAGAUCUGAAGGCUCACAUGCAUUUUUCAAGAAAUAUGUCUCAAAUAAGAACUCAUUAAUGGAUUUUAUCACACGUUUUAAUAGAGCAUUGAGACAUCAAAGACACAAUGAGUUAGUUGCAAAGCAUAUUGAUAUGAAUGAGCAACCCAGGGUUAAUACAAUCUAGCCAAUGGAAACUCAAAUGGUUAAGCUGUACACCAAAAAGAAAUGGCUGGAGUUUCAAAGUAAAAUCACCGAGAGUCAUAGUUAUUAUGUGCAACAGACAUUUACAGGAGUUGCCUCAGUGGUUUACCACGUGAUGAAAUUUUAAAGUUCUUCUUCCUCAAAAUCAAGAGUGCUCACGCAUGAUAAACAGAGGGAUUACAUAUCGUAUAGCUGCUCAAAAUUUGAGUUUGAGGGCAUUCCAUGUAGACAUAUUUUAGCUUUUUUUUCAUAUCAAUCAAAUGCUUCAUUUGCCUGAUACGUAUAUACUCAAACGAUGGACACGAAAUGUAAAAGUUAGAGCAAUAUAUACUUUAGGGGAGCAAAAUGCCAUUGAUGAUCCAGAUUCAGAAAGGUAUUUGAUGUCAAGACAUUCGAGGUUGUCCUAUAAAGCUCCCGUGUUAGUUGAUGAUGCAUCUUUGAGUAAUGAAAGGACAACCUUCUUGGAUGAACAAUUCGAUUGUAUCUACAAUAAAAUUCAAGAGACGUCUAUUAGUACAACAUGCAGUGAUAGAAGUCAAAAAAAAAAUCUAUUGAUGAGAGCCUUGGUAUUAUUGAUCCUUCUGUAGUAAGAACUAAGGGAUGUGGGAAGAGAUUAAAAUCAUCAAAGGAGAAAUCUACAACAAAUUCUAGACUUUGUCGUGGAUGCGGACAACGAGGAGUAUCACAUGACAAGCGUAACUGUCCCAAUUUGCAACAAGGGUUUGUGUCGAUUCAUUUUUCCAUUUUUAUUAUAUUUGUUAAUUUUUAUUAUAUUUUGUAUAUGACAAUGUGUAAAUUAUCAGAUCAAUUGAAGAUAAUAAUCAUAUCAGUCUUGACGACACAUAUGAACUUGAUUUGGGAUCUAUUGCGGAUUCUAGUAACAUGCGCUAGGAUGUAAUUAUCUAUGAAUGCAUACUUUUUCAGGCUCUCUUUUGGAAGAUUGCAACUGUCUUGCCCGGGGUGGAAAACCUUUCUUCAGAAAAGCAGGAUGACAUGGUCGAUGCAUGUUAAUUUAAGAGCAACCAAUGCACACUCGUAUCAGUCGCAGUCACAAUUUGGAGGCUGUGGUUGUUAAUUGAUACCAUGUAUUUUAGUUGGAUUUAGUAGAUGUAAUUGAGUUAUUUUAUUUGUUGAGAUAAUUGUUAGUGUAAUAUCAUGGUUAUUUAGUGCU